UGCAAACAUGAUACAUUAUCGGUCAUGUACAGUAGGGACUUGUGAUAUGGCACUGACAAACAAUCUUGACAAGAGCAUUGCAACCAACAUCCAACGCGCAGACCCUAACAGGCUGACCACACAGCUCACGUGCGCGAGCGUUGCAAAAUAUAUUUAAAAAUCUAUGUUAUUCAAUUAUUGCACCCACACUCCUCGCGCUCGCCAACGAGCGUCUGCCUUGCCAAAGGCUAAAAUAGAAAUUAGUUCUAUUUCUGACGCAAAUCGCGCUUUUAGUCCUGCCUCUCCCAUCUCCUCAUUGGUUUAUAGAAGCAGGUACCCGCGUGCCAUCUCCUCAUUGGUUAUACCCACGUGGGUGACUGAAAGACGAAUGAGGUCAGUGGCAGUAAUGCACCUAAUUUAUGAAAGUUGCCAAUCGAGAAGAAAAUGCCUGGAAGGAAGAGAGAUGACUCGAAACGAUUUGGUUGACCGUUUUAUGUGUGGAUUAAUUAUCAGAGUAGAGGACCUUGUGUAUUUCAGGGCCUCUCCAUUACUGGACCUGACACAUCCACGCAACUGAACCCUUCCAAGCCCAGCCACUAAUCCACACAUACACACAGGUAUUGAUAGGUGUUGUGCUGUUAAUAAUCUCAGGGUCUGUGUGUGAAUGUGUGUGUUUCUGCCUGCCUACGUGGUGCGCUGCGCCAGUGUCUAUGUCACUUGAUUUUGAGGCGCGGAGAAGACAGAGUGGGAAUACGAGUGUUGGGGCGAGGAGAAGUCUGAGUGGGGAUAUGAAUGUGGGGGUCAGCAAAUCCCACCCUGUUGUAAAUCAAGGGAGAAGAUUCAAGUGUGUGCUCUCAUGAUUCACCAAAGGAAUGUGCUUGUUUCAACAGACUUUUUCCUGCUGAAAUUCUAACAUGUCCAAAAGCGAAUACUGGAACAAUACUUCUAACAUAGAACGUGGGGAAUGGUCAGAGGCAAUCUAUAGAGCACUAAUGUCAUUUUGUUUGUUAUUUUGUGAUGACGUUAAAAUGUUAUAAAGGAAAUACUGUAACUUGGAAAGUAUACCCACUACAUAUAUGAAGUUUACAUACUCCGUGUUGUGCAUAUAAAAUUAACAAUUAUGAAAGUGUUUUUGUUAAGAGAGGGAUGUGAUUUGAUAAGCUAUAAGAGAUAAUUGUUUUACCUAACUUUGCACAUUGUUUUACCUAACUUUGAGUCGUUACCGCCUGGAGUGAGGUCAGGGAGCGUGUCAGCCUGCCGGAACCACCCCUUUUGAGUAAAAUGUAUAAAUGAUGGGUUAAGAAAAAAACACAUCAGACCAGAAAGACGUGAAGCUACAGCUGCAGGUUUACAGUGGUUUGAAGUUUUUACUUUUAAUCUCAACACGAGGUGGAGACGAUAAACUCAUCUCCAGGAUGAUCACUAGUAUGGCUGAUUAGCUGUCCUAAGUAAAGUAUCUUCUAAAGCGAAUUUAAGUUGCACUAUCCUGUUACUCUGCUCAAACUAUCGAUACGGCUGGGUAGCCUAUCUUCAAAGAAGAGUGAAUGGAAGGAAAGUCAACUCUGUAGUUCUGUUCAGGACUACACAUCAAGUCACCGGAUACCGGACAACCACAAAGAAGGACAACAGUAGAAGACUUGUUGGAACCAUUUCGGACAAUCAGAGCCUUACAAGCGUGCCGCGAAAAGGCCAAACCCCCUUUCCAAGGCUGCCCUGUUCACCGAGAGAUCCCCAGCAAACCCAGGCAUUUCACGUAAAUACAUUCAUGAUUUCUUACUCAAAGCAGGCGGCGGUUCGUGUGCAAAGUAUAUGGUUACUGUAGGUGAGAGUAGUUUCUGAAUGUACCAAUGCUAAGUGUCUCUGUCCCUCUCUCUCUCCCUCUCCAUCUCUUUUGUAAUUAGCAGCCAUGUUGUUGUCAUUUCGCUAGGGACCUGUUUUCAGCGUAUUAAGUCUACAGUCAAUAACCGGUGCAAAGUGUGUAUGUUUAUCCUGUGUUCCCAUUUAAUUAGCUAG
rnacentral:lncRNA from 1 species